UACGUAGGGGGCAAGCGUUGUCCGGAUUUAUUGGCGUAAAGAGCGUGUAGGCGGUCAGGUAGGUCAGCUGUGAAAACUCGAGGCUCAACCUCGAGACGCCGGUUGAAACCAUCUGACUAGAGUCCGGAAGAGGAGAGUGGAAUUCCGUGGUGUAGCGGUGAAAUGCGCAGAUAUCAGGAAGAACACCCGUGGCUAAGGCGGCUCUCUAGUACGGUACUGACGCUGAGACGCGAAAGCGUGGGGAGCGAACAGG
rnacentral:rRNA from 1 species